UCGGGAGCCUGUUGGCUUGGGCGUGAGUGCUGCAAGGCAUCAUGGGAGAGGCCUUAAGUAGCCACCCGCAGGCGCAGAGCUUGCUGGGGUCCCUCUUCUAUCCUUGGCAUUAUAUGGGGAGGUGUCCUGGCUUAGGCAAGGUGGAAUUCAGGUCAAGGCAGAUUGUUUUAGCCUGAAUUGACUUGGCAGGUGCUAAGGAUCAUGGGAGUUAUCUUGGCUCUUAUUACAUUGUGAGGGACAAAAAGCAGUGGUUUAACCUUGCCUCAUAGCAUGACUACCCUAGUUACAUACAGUGGGGCCUCCCUAUGAUAAUAAGUUGCUUUGGACAGUAGCAAGAGCAGGGACUUGAUAUUUUAAAUAAACAUUUUCUGGGGUGUUUGUUGGGAAAGGAGGAACAGUUUGUGCUCUCUGUUCAGACUUGGCAACCCCAUAGCUUUUCUCAGUUGAUGGGUAGAGAUCAUCAUAGGAGACGAGACCUUCUCUCAAAUAACCCAGCUCAGGCAGCCCCUGAGAUUGUGCCAAAAACAAGAAGCCAGUGCUCCAAUGCAGUGGUUUUUGGGCAAAAGUUGUGUGAAAUGACUUAAUAAAAAGAUAUGUAACGACAAUAUGUUCAUUAAAAGGCAACUCCCCUCCCUCCGAAAAGUGUGCAGCUGUAGAAUAAGUUGUCCUCAUAGUUCACAGGAAGCAGCUGGAUACCAGGUGGGUUCCCUUCCCUGAAUCCUCUCAGGCACACAGGGGUUCUAUGGCAAAUGUGUUAGGGGCUCCUCUGCAGAUCGGUCAAUGUAGAAAGGACUCCCUGGCACUGGAAAACGAUAACUGAAGUCAUCUCCAUUGGCUUAUAACACUGGCUGAGACUCCCUGAGCCAUCUUUAAGAUGGAUCCCACAGCCUGCCAGCAGCCACCCGUGGUGCUUCCUUCCAGCCAGCCCUUGCCCUGCUCCCUUCUAAGUCAAACUGCGAGCUGGAGCCAGAGCAGAGCCCUUGAGUGGCAACAGGAAGUGCCACGCAGAAUGCCACGGAUGCGGCAAAAUCAAGUGCUGAUGAAUGCCAUUGGUAUACAGCGGUCCCGCUGCCGGCCUGCAUCCCUUGCUUUCAAACGGCACCUGGAGAACAGAGACCAGUAACCCAGUUCUAAGCAAUUCCUCUCAGAGGACAAGAUGGCUGCCCGCUUUAACUCCCUCAGCCUGGACAAUGAUCACAUGUACAGUUCCAAUGGCUUCCCAGUCCAAGAGGACAACCCCAAGUGGCAGCAGGCCUAUGCACGACUGAAAGAACUGCAGCGCAGGCUGUCCUCCGAUAGUGUAAAUGGAGAAGCCGGUUCAACGGAAGAGGAAAACCAAUGGGGUGACGUCGUUGUGGAUGGGGAAUUCAUUAUGCCAGACUGCCCCCUAUUAACGCUUCCUUCCGUUUUCCAAGGGUCACUUGGAGGGGUCAGCCUUAUACCUGGAGAGGUAUUGCUCUCUCUGAACCCUUGCACAGAAGUUGUCUUAUGGAGUCCUCCUGGAAACUCCGUGCUACCCACCAUCCGGACACUGAUGGCUACCCCAUCUUCUUUGGGCGCUUCUGUACAACUUCAGCAGGAAGUAGGGGUGAUACAAGAAGAAAUGGAAAUAUGAGCUUCCUUCCCUCUUUGUAGCAGCACACUGAUUUCUUACUGGCUGGCCCCUCAAGAUGUUCAGCAAAUGCCACUAUUUAUCUAGCCUUAUAUGUUUUGCCACAAACAUUUUAUUCCAAUUUAGCAAUACUGAAUGUUUUCAAGUAGACUGCAAUAGGAAAAAAAAACGUAAACUGCAAUAGUUGGAUCCUCUUCCAGAUGUCAGUUGUGGACAACUGUACAAAUUGUUGUUUUUCCCGAUAGGAAUCUAAGGUGUGCCACUGAGUUGCCAUUGGCGACCCUAUGAAAUCCCUCCUCAUGGGGGUUUUCAAGGCAAGAGCUCGGAGGUGGUGCUUUCCCAUUGUCUUCCUUGGCAGCCUCCUGUCCCAAGUACCAAGCUCUGAUGAGGUUCAGCUACUAGGGCCGGUCAUUGACAAGCGGGUGCCCAAAGGUGCUUGGAACUGACUGUGCAACCCCCACACCCCAUUUGUUACACUGCCCUUCCUCUAGGGAGCUCAAGGUGGGUCAUCUUUCAUCUUUUAUCCUUUUCCUUACCCACCUUGGUUAGGCUGAGAUCCAGCAACUAGACAAACAAUAAAAACAGCCUUUUAACCCCAUUCCCAGAGCGAAUCUCCUCACUGGCAGCACACCUCAAGAGGGAUAACCUGUCUUCAGGGAAAUAAAACAAUCUGAGUCUGUUUCAUA